CUGAUCAGAUCUGCUCAGCUUUUAGAAUCUGUUGUAUUUGCUUAAAUCUCCCUGUAAGACUUCUUUUAAACAAAGGACUCCCUGGUAUUAAAAAAAAGUUUGAAAAUUAGUUCUCUAAGGAAAACAACCUCAUUGUUGCCACAGAUGCAACUGAUGAAUACAGAGCCUAAAAGUAUUAAAGGAAAAUUCAUCAUUAAAUCUGUCUGUUUCACAGGACAAAUUUAAAAUUGCUGGAGUCUCUAGCAUUCCAUAAUGAAAGACCUUGAGAGAGAUCUGAGUCCUGGGAUGUCUGCCCAUCUUGCUGCUUGCGGAUCCCCUGAUUUGAGAGAAGCUUCCAGAGUACCACUUGCUUUUGGUAAGACACUUCCAUCCUUCUUUCUGUUCACCAAGAUGCAGCUCCAGAACUUUAAAGGGUGCCUAUAAAACUCCCAGUCUCCUGUUUUCAUAUGGCUCCUAGCCAAUGAGUGUGUCAUCUCUCACAAGGAGAUGUCAAGCAGCAAACAGUCCAACUGCUAACUUCUCUCUUUCCAGUUCAUUUUCAUUAGUGUCCCUAUUCUAGUUAUUCACUAACCCCAUCUAGACCUCCAAGUCGUUUGCAAUUUAUCACAUCCUCCUGUGUCCCCGCCAUACAUCACCAGCCUGAGUCCAUUACUACAAUCAGUCCUUUGCAUACACUCUCAACUCUCCAGACAAUGGGACAGUAAACUAAGGUCCCCGGGCCAAAUCAGCCUGCUGUUUAUAUAAAUACCAUUUAACUGGAACACAGCCACACUCAUUAGUUUAUGUAUUGUCUUUGGCUGCUUUUGCACUGAAAUGGUGAGCUGAACAGUUGUGACAGAGACUGUAUGGCCCACAAAGCAAACUUAAAAUAUUUACUGUCUGACCCUUUACAAGAAAGGUUUUCUAAUCUAUGCCCAACACUGUCUAUCAUAUUCACUUGGAAUGACUCAAGUUCUGUAUCUAUUGCUUCCUGCCUGUGAGCAGCAGGAUGGGCUGAGCAAAAGCCCAAGCAUAAACUCAAUAUGCUCGGUAUAAAUUUAAAGCCAUAGUUUUCAAGUAUUUCUUCAACAUUGCUCAAAAGUUCACUUUAAUUCCCUCAUCAGUUAAUGAUUCCACUCUCUGAGAUGACCAUUGCACAUCUCCUUUCUCAAAACUGAUCACCUCUUUCCUCUUCACACUCUUAGAUGAUGACUUUUCUUCUCAUUUCACUUAAAAAAAAAAUAGUAACUUAGGAAAAGAAAUACCCUGCCUUCCUUCCAUCAAGUUUACCAACCUACUGACAUCUCUGCCCAUCUUCUCUGUGUGCCUUCUCACAAUACUUAAACCCCCUCUUCCCAUUAUAUGAGGCCAACCACUUGAUGUGUGUUUGUAUCUCAGAUACUCAAGGACUUUGAUCCAGUAAUUAUUUUCCCUUUUUCCUCUCUCAUCA
rnacentral:lncRNA from 1 species